rnacentral:lncRNA from 1 species
AUGAAGAAAUCGAUGGUGAUGGAGAAGAAGAGAAAUUACCAACAUUUGAGUCCAUUGUUGAUGGGGAAGAUGAAGAUGAGUAGAUGAGCAAGUUUGAAAUGUUAUCUUGAUUUGGUGUUUUGCUUCAAUUACAAUUUCUGAUUUCUUGUUUAAGUUGCAUGAUUUUUGGUUUUGAAUACUAUGAUUUGGACCAUUUGGUGUUUCUCUAAAUUUUACUUUAGUUGAGACUUAAUUUUUUAUACUCACGAUCAAACAACAAACUAUAGUUCUUCAAAGUUAUCUGAAGAAACAGAUUGAAUGGCUAGUAAUUAACAUAUAUACGAGUUGCUGAAAUAGCCAGUGGCUCUAACGAUGCUCUCGUAGAUUGAAAAAAAAAUACAAAACAAGACUAAUAUAUGUAAAAGUUGUUAAGCUCCAAUAGUAGAUGGGUCAUGUGUUCAUAUAUCAUUCAUUAUGUAUGUAGUGGUCACUGGAGCAGCCUGCAGCGUCGAGAAACGUCAUGCUGCACUCCUUUCGCGUCCAGCCCGCGGGACGGCUUGUAAGGGCCUGUGCAAUCAUGCGGUACGGGACUGGGCCGGCUUUCUC